AGUGAACGCUGGCGGUAGGCCUAACACAUGCAAGUCGAACGGCAGCACAGUAAGAGCUUGCUCUUACGGGUGGCGAGUGGCGGACGGGUGAGGAAUACAUCGGAAUCUACUUUUUCGUGGGGGAUAACGUAGGGAAACUUACGCUAAUACCGCAUACGACCUACGGGUGAAAGCAGGGGAUCUUCGGACCUUGCGCGAUUGAAUGAGCCGAUGUCGGAUUAGCUAGUUGGCGGGGUAAAGGCCCACCAAGGCGACGAUCCGUAGCUGGUCUGAGAGGAUGAUCAGCCACGUUGGAACUGAGACACGGUCCAGACUCCUACGGGAGGCAGCAGUGGGGAAUAUUGGACAAUGGGCGCAAGCCUGAUCCAGCCAUACCGCGUGGGUGAAGAAGGCCUUCGGGUUGUAAAGCCCUUUUGUUGGGAAAGAAAAGCAGCAGGUUAAUACCCCGCUGUUCUGACGGUACCCAAAGAAUAGGCACCGGCUAACUUCGUG
rnacentral:rRNA from 1 species